GAUGAACGCUAGCGGCAGGCCUAAUACAUGCAAGCUGAACGGCAAGUUGAAUAGCAAUAUUUGACCUAGAGUAGCGUAAGGGUGCAUAACACGUAUGCAAUCUGCCCGCAACAGGAGGAUAGCUUGAUGAAAGUUGAGAUAAGACUCCAUAAGAUCACAGGAGGGCAUCUGAUAGUGAUUAAACUACAAGGGGUUNCGGAUGAGCAUGCGCAUGAUUAGUUAGUGCGGGUAACGCCACAAGACAAUGAUCAUUAGGGGAACUGAGAGGUUGGUCCCCCACACUGG
rnacentral:rRNA from 1 species